AGGUUGAGUGGACUGCAUAGAAUUCAAGGUCUGUUAGGUGUGCUCUUCAAAUCUGGGCAAACAGCUGGAGGAUGGCCACACUCCAUCAGACUACAAUAUUCAGAAUGAGUCCACCUUGCACUUGGUGCUUCAUCUGCGAGGUGGCAUCAUUGAGCCUUCCCUCCACCAGCUUGUCCAGAAAUGGACCUA